UAAUACAGAGGGCGCGAGCGUUGUCCGGAAUCACUGGGCGUAAAGGGCGCGUAGGUGGCCACCAUAAGGCCGCGGUGAAAGUCUGGAGCUCAACUCCAGAUCUGCCGCGGCGACUGUGGGGCUAGGGCACCGUAGAGGCAGAUGGAAUUCCGGGUGUAGCGGUGGAAUGCGUAGAGAUCCGGAAGAACACCAGUGGCGAAGGCGGUCUGCUGGGCGGUGGAUCCGCAAGGGUCCAAUAGCCGACACUGAGGCGCGACAGCGUGGGGAGCAAACAGGAUUAGAUACCCUGGUAGUCCACGCCGUAAACGAUGGGCACUAGGUGCUCCGGGGAGCGACCCUUGGAGUACCGGCGCUAACGCAUGAAGUGCCCCGCCUGGGGAGUACGGCCGCAAGGCUG
rnacentral:rRNA from 1 species